rnacentral:rRNA from 1 species
AGGACGAACGCUGGCGGCGUGCUUAACGCAUGCAAGUCGAGCGGUAAGGCCUUUCGGGGUACACGAGCGGCGAACGGGUGAGUAACACGUGGGUGAUCUGCCCUGCACUUCGGGAUAAGCCUGGGAAACUGGGUCUAAUACCGGAUAUAGACCUCCUAUCGCAUGGUGGUGGUGGAAAGAUUUAUCGGUGACAGGGAUGGGCCCGCGGCCUAUCAGCUUGUUGGUGGGUAAUGGCCUACCGAAGGCGACGACGGGUAGCCGGACCUGGAAGAGGGUACGACCGGCCACACGUGGGACUGGAGACACGGCCCAGACCUCCGUACGGGAGCAGCAGGUAGGGAAUAGUUGCACAAGUGGACGAAAGCCGUGAUGCGAGCGACGCG